rnacentral:tRNA from 1 species
ACCUGAGUGGCUCAGUCGGUUGAGCGUCCGACUUCGGCUCAGGUCAUGAUCUCACGAUUUGUGGGUUCAAGCCCCGUGUCAGGCU